UCCGUAGGGGGCAAGCGUUGUCCGGAUUUAUUGGGCGUAAAGAGCUCGUAGGCGGCUUGUCACGUCGGGUGUGAAAGCCCGGGGCUUAACCCCGGGUCUGCAUUCGAUACGGGCUAGCUAGAGUGUGGUAGGGGAGAUCGGAAUUCCUGGUGUAGCGGUGAAAUGCGCAGAUAUCAGGAGGAACACCGGUGGCGAAGGCGGGUCUCUGGGCCGAUACUGACGCUGAGGAGCGAAAGCGUGGGGAGCGAACAGG
rnacentral:rRNA from 1 species